UACAGAGGGCUCAAGCGUUGUUCGGAUUCAUUGGGCGUAAAGGGCGCGUAGGCGGCAAGGCAAGUCGGGUGUGAAAGCUUGGGGCUUAACCCCGAAAGGGCACUCGAAACUGCGUUGCUAGAGGGCCGGAGAGGAGAUCGGAAUUCACGGUGUAGCAGUGAAAUGCGUAGAGCUCGUGAGGAAGACCGGUGGCGAAGGCGGAUCUCUGGACGGCCCCUGACGCUGAGGCGCGAAGGCUAGGGGAGCAAACGGG
rnacentral:rRNA from 1 species